GGGUCAGUAGGUUGGUCGUGCCACCGGUACGUACUGGUCUCACUGAUUCCUCCUUCCUGAAGAACCGUAAUGCCAUUAAUUUGGUGUUGCGGGGAAACAGGACUGUUACUUUGAAAAAAUUAGAGUGUUUAAAGCAAGCUAGCGCUUGAAUACAUUAGCAUGGAAUAAUGGAAUAGGACGAUCGAUCCUAUUUUGUUGGUUUCUAGGAUUGACGUA
rnacentral:rRNA from 1 species